rnacentral:rRNA from 1 species
AAAUUGAAGAGUUUGAUCAUGGCUCAGAUUGAACGCUGGCGGCAGGCCUAACACAUGCAAGUCGAGCGGUAGCACAGAGAGCUUGCUCUCGGGUGACGAGCGGCGGACGGGUGAGUAAUGUCUGGGAAACUGCCUGAUGGAGGGGGAUAACUACUGGAAACGGUAGCUAAUACCGCAUAACGUCGCAAGACCAAAGUGGGGGACCUUCGGGCCUCAUGCCAUCAGAUGUGCCCAGAUGGGAUUAGCUGGUAGGUG